rnacentral:rRNA from 1 species
AUACGGAGGGUGCAAGCGUUAAUCGGAAUUACUGGGCGUAAAGCGUGCGCAGGCGGUUUGUUAAGUCAGAUGUGAAAGCCCCGGGCUCAACCUGGGAACUGCAUUUGAAACUGGCAAACUAGAGUGUGGUAGAGGGAAGUGGAAUUCCUCAUGUAGCGGUGAAAUGCGUAGAUAUGAGGAGGAACACCAGUGGCGAAGGCGACUUCCUGGACCAACACUGACGCUCAUGUACGAAAGCGUGGGUAGCAAACAGGAUUAGAUACCCCGGUAGUCC